CUGUGAGGACGUCACAGGCGACGACGGGUAGCCGGCCUGAGAGGGCGACCGGCCACACUGGGACUGAGACACGGCCCAGACUCCUACGGGAGGCAGCAGUGGGGAAUAUUGCGCAAUGGGCGAAAGCCUGACGCAGCGACGCCGCGUGAGGGAUGACGGCCUUCGGGUUGUAAACCUCUUUCAGCAGGGACGAAGCGCAAGUGACGGCACCUGCAGAAGAAGCGCCGGCUAACUACGUGCCAGCGCCCGCGGCCGAGA
rnacentral:rRNA from 1 species